rnacentral:tRNA from 1 species
GCAGUUCAGUGGCAGAGCACUUGCCUAGCAAGCAUGAGGUACUGGGUUCUAUUCCCAGCAAUGCA